UUCGGAGUAAAGCUACGGCGGUUUGGGAACGGCCUGCGCAUGAUUAGCUUGUUGGUGAGGUAAUAGCUCACCAAGGCGACGAUCAUUAGCUGGUCUGAGAGGAUGAUCAGCCAGACUGGGACUGAGAACGGCCCAGACUCCUACGGGAGGCAGCAGUAGGGAAUUUUCCACAAUGGGGGCAACCCUGAUGGAGCAACGCCGCGUGCAGGAUGAAGGCCCUAGGGUCGUAAACUGCUUUUAUCUGUGACGAAUAUGACGGUAGCAGAUGAAUAAGGAUCGGCUAACUCCGUG
rnacentral:rRNA from 1 species